rnacentral:tRNA from 1 species
CAAAGAAUAGUUUAAUAAAAUAUUAGUUUUGGAGACUAAAGAUGGGCAGUUUCUCUUCUUUGU